rnacentral:rRNA from 1 species
GUGGGGAAUAUUGGACAAUGGGCGAAAGCCUGAUCCAACCAUGCCGCGUGUGUGAAGAAGGUCUUCGGAUUGUAAAGCACUUUAAGUUGGGAGGAAGGGCAGUAAGUUAAUACCUUGCUGUUUUGACGUUACCGACAGAAUAAGCACCGGCUAACUUCGUGCCAGCAGCCGCGGUAAUACGAAGGGUGCAAGCGUUAAUCGGAAUUACUGGGCGUAAAGCGCGCGUAGGUGGUUCAGCAAGUUGAAGGUGAAAUCCCCGGGCUCAACCUGGGAACUGCCUCCAAAACUACUGAGCUAGAGUACGGUAGAGGGUAGUGGAAUUUCCUGUGUAGCGGUGAAAUGCGUAGAUAUAGGAAGGAACACCAGUGGCGAAGGCGACUACCUGGACUGAUACUGACACUGAGGUGCGAAAGCGUGGGGAGCAAACAGGAUUAGAAACCCCUGUAGUCC